CUGCUCACUUCAGAAGCAUGUAUACUAAAAUUGGAACUAUUCAGAAAAGAUUAGCAUGGCCCCCACACAAGGAAAGUUAGAAAGGAAGAUGGAACACUGUUCUUU